rnacentral:rRNA from 1 species
UACGUAGGGGGCGAGCGUUGUCCGGAUUUACUGGGCGUAAAGCGCGCGUAGGCGGUGCGGUCAGUCGGCCGUGAAAGCCCUCGGCUUAACUGAGGGAGGUCGGUCGAUACUGCCGCACUGGAGGGUCGUAGAGGGAGCUGGAAUUCCCGGUGUAGUGGUGAAAUGCGUAGAGAUCGGGAGGAACACCAGUGGCGAAAGCGGGCUCCUGGGCGACACCUGACGCUGAGGUGCGAAAGCGUGGGGAGCGAAC